UACGUAGGGGGCUAGCGUUGUCCGGAUUUAUUGGGCGUAAAGAGCGUGUAGGCGGCCAUGUAGGUCCGGUGUGAAAACUCGAGGCUUAACCUCGAGAUGUCAUCGGAAACCAUUUGGCUAGAGUCCGGAAGAGGAGAGUGGAAUUCCUGGUGUAGCGGUGAAAUGCGCAGAUAUCAGGAAGAACACCAAUGGCGAAGGCAGCUCUCUGGGACGGUACUGACGCUGAGACGCGAAAGCGUGGGAGCGAACAGG
rnacentral:rRNA from 1 species